rnacentral:rRNA from 1 species
GAUCAAGUGUCUUAAGGGCAUUUGGUGGAUGCCUUGGCAUGCACAGGCGAUGAAGGACGUGAUACGCUGCGAUAAGCUACGGGGAGGUGCGAAUAACCUUUGAUCCGUAGAUCUCCGAAUGGGGAAACCCACCUUUGAUAACUAGAAAUCUGAAUUGUUGUUUUGCGACGAUUUUGGUUUCUAGUUAUCGUAAAAGGUAUCUACAUCUGAAUAAAAUAGGGUGUAAGAAGCGAACGCGGGGAACUGAAACAUCUAAGUACCCGUAGGAAAGGAAAUCAAUAGAGACUCCGCAAGUAGUGGCGAGCGAACGCGGACCAGGCCAGUAGCUGUAGCAUAGAAAAAUAGAAUCGAAUGGAAAGUCGAACUAAAAAGGGUGAUAGUCCCGUAUAUGUAAAUCUAUUUACAGUUCUUGAGUAGGGCGGGACACGUGAAAUCCUGUCUGAACAUGGGUCGACCACGAUCCAAGCCUAAGUACUAGUGCAUGACCGAUAGCGUACCAGUACCGUGAGGGAAAGGUGAAAAGAACCCCGACGAGGGGAGUGAAAUAGAACCUGAAACCGAAUGCCUACAAACAGUCGGAGCCCAAGAUUAGUUCUGGGUGACGGCGUACCUUUUGUAUAAUGGGUCAGCGACUUAGUCUAACGAGCAAGCUUAAGCCGAUAGGUGUAGGCGUAGCGAAAGCAAGUCUUAAUAGGGCGAUUAGUUCGUUGGAUUAGACCCGAAACCGAGUGAUCUAGCCAUGAGCAGGCUGAAGGUAAGGUAACACUUACUGAAGGGCCGAACCCGUAUCUGUUGCAAUAGAUUGGGAUGACUUGUGGCUAGGGGUGAAAGGCCAAUCAAACUCGGAAAUAGCUGGUUCUCCGCGAAAUCUAUUUAGGUAGAGCGUCAGUCGAAUUCCCCAGGGGGUAGAGCACUGGAUGGGCUAGGGGUCCUCACCGGAUUACCAAACCCAACCAAACUACGAAUACCUGGAAGAACUAACUGGCAGACACACGGCGGGUGCUAACGUCCGUCGUGGAAAGGGAAACAACCCUAACCACCAUCUAAGGUCCCCAAGUUAUGGCUAAGUGGGAAAGGAUGUGAGGAUCCCAAAACAACCAGGAUGUUGGCUUAGAAGCAGCCAUCAUUUAAAGAAAGCGUAACAGCUCACUGGUCUAAAUAAGGGUCUUUGCGCCGAAAAUGUAACGGGGCUAAAGCCAUACACCGAAGCUGUGGAUGCGUCUUAUGACGCGUGGUAGCGGAGCGUUCCGUAAGCCUGUGAAGGAAUACUCGUGAGAGAUUCUGGAGGUAUCGGAAGUGAGAAUGCUGACAUGAGUAACGAUAAAGGGAGUGAGAGACUCCCUCGCCGAAAGUCCAAGGGUUCCUGCUUAAAGUUAAUCUGAGCAGGGUGAGCCGGCCCCUAAGGUGAGGCCGAAAGGCGUAGCCGAUGGGAACCACGUUAAUAUUCGUGGGCCUGCGUGAAGUGACGGAUUAUGUAAAUUGUAAACUCUUAUUGGAUUGAGUUUGCAGUGAAAUAGUUCCAGGAAAUAGCUCACGCAUAUAGACCGUACCCUAAACCGACACAGGUGGACAGGUAGAGUAUACCAAGGCGCUUGAGAGAACUACGUUGAAGGAACUCGGCAAAAUGCACGCGUAACUUCGGAAGAAGCGUGACCUUCUAUUGGGCAACCAUUAGAAGGUGGCACAGACCAGGGGGUAGCGACUGUUUACCAAAAACACAGGGCUCUGCGAAGUCGCAAGACGACGUAUAGGGUCUGACGCCUGCCCGGUGCUGGAAGGUUAAGAGGAGAUGUGCAAGCAUUGAAUUGAAGCCCCAGUAAACGGCGGCCGUAACAAUAACGGUCCUAAGGUAGCGAAAUUCCUUGUCGGGUAAGUUCCGACCUGCACGAAUGGCGUAACGAUUUCCCCGCUGUCUCCAACGUAGACUCAGUGAAAUUGAAUUCCCCGUGAAGAUGCGGGGUUCCUGCGGUUAGACGGAAAGACCCCGUGCACCUUUACUAUAGCUUUACACUGGCAUUCGUGUCGACAUGUGUAGGAUAGGUGGUAGGCUAUGAAGCAGUGGCGCCAGCCAUUGUGGAGCCAUCCUUGAAAUACCACCCUUAUCUACAUGGAUGUCUAACUGCGACCCGUUAUCCGGNUCCNGGACAGUGUAUGGUGGGUAGUUUGACUGGGGCGGUCGCCUCCNAAAGAGUAACGGAGGCGCGCGANGGUNGGCUCAGANCGGUCGGAAAUCGUUNGUNGAGUGCAAUGGCAUAAGCCUGCCUGACUGCAAGACUGACAAGUCGAGCAGAGNCGAAAGNCGGUCAUAGUGAUCCGGUGGUCCCGNGUGGAAGGGCCAUCGCUCAACGGAUAAAAGGUACNCCGGGGAUAACAGGCUGAUNNCCCCCAAGAGUNCAUAUCGACGGNGNUGUUUGGCACCUCGAUGUCGNCUCAUCGCAUCCUGGGGCUGNAGCNGGUCCCAAGGGUAUGGCUGUUCGCCAUUUAAAGCGGUACGUGAGNUGGGUUCAGAACGUCGUGAGACAGUUCGGUCCCUAUCUGCCGUGGGUGUAGGAAUAUUGACAGGAUCUGUCCCUAGUACGAGAGGACCGGGAUGGACGUAUCUCUGGUGGACCUGUUGUGGCGCCAGCCGCAUAGCAGGGUAGCUAUAUACGGAAGGGAUAACCGCUGAAGGCAUCUAAGUGGGAAACCCACCUGGAAACUAGUAUUCCCAUGAGAACCGUGGAAGACUACCACGUUGAUAGGUCAGAUGUGGAAGUGUGGUAACACAUGAAGCUUACUGAUACUAAUAGUUCGAUCGACUUGAUUAU